GACGUAGGGCGCGAGCGUUGUCCGGAUUUAUUGGGCGUAAAGAGCUCGUAGGCGGCUUGUCGCGUCGUUCGUGAAAACCUGUGGCUCAACUACAGGCUUGCGGUCGAUACGGGCGGGCUGGAGUUCGGUAGGGGAGACUGGAAUUCCUGGUGUAGCGGUGAAAUGCGCAGAUAUCAGGAGGAACACCGGUGGCGAAGGCGGGCCUCUGGGCCGAUACUGACGCUGAGGAGCGAAAGCGUGGGGAGCGAACAGG
rnacentral:rRNA from 1 species